rnacentral:rRNA from 1 species
GAUGAACGCUGGCGGCGUGCCUAAUACAUGCAAGUCGAGCGAACAGACGAGGAGCUUGCUCUUCUGACGUUAGUGGCGGACGGGUGAGUAACACGUAGAUAACCUACCUAUAAGACUGGGAUAACUUCGGGAAACGGUAGCUAAUACCGCAUAAUAAAGUAAACCGCAUGGUUCAAUAGUGAAAGACGCAUUUGCUCCACUACAUAGAGGAACUGCCGUGGAUUUGGUAGUAGGUUAAGUAAAGGGCUACCCAGGCCACGGAUCAGAAGCCACCCGGGGAGGGUGUUCGCCCACACGGGAACGGAAACAGGGCCCAGACUCCUACGGGGGGCGCAAGAAGGGAAUCUCCGCAAAUGGGGCAAAGCUUGACGGAGCAAGCCCGCGUGGGUGAUGAAGGUCUUCGGAUCGUAAGACCUUUUUAUUGGGGAGGAAGAAAGGUGUAAGUAAAUAUGCACGUCUUGACGGUACCUAAUCAGAAAGCCACGGCUAACUACGUG